GUUCGCCUACGGGGGGCAGCAGUGGGGGAUAUUGCACAAUGGAGGAAACUCUGAUGCAGCGACGCCGCGUGAGGGAAGACGGUCUUCGGAUUGUAAACCUCUGUCUUUGGGGAAGAAAAUGACGGUACCCAAAGAGGAAGCCCCGGCUAACUACGUGCCAGCAGCCGCGGUAAUACGUAGGGGGCAAGCGUUAUCCGGAAUUACUGGGUGUAAAGGGAGCGUAGGCGGCUGUGCAAGUCUGGAGUGAAAGGCGGGGGCCCAACCCCCGGACUGCUCU
rnacentral:rRNA from 1 species